rnacentral:rRNA from 1 species
AGCAGCCGCGGUAAUUCCAGCUCCAAUAGCGUAUAUUAAAGUUGUUGCAGUUAAAAAGCUCGUAGUUGAAUUUCGGGGUUCUACCGUUGGUCGGGCAAUAGUCUGUACUGGCGUGUAGAAUUUCUACCUUCUGGGGAACUAUUAUGUUAUUUAUUUAGCGUGGUAGGAAACCAGGACCUUUACCUUGAAAAAAUUAGAGUGUUCAAAGCAGGCUUACGUCUGAAUACAUUAGCAUGGAAUAAUAAAAUAGGACGGUGGUCCUGUUUUGUUGGUUUCUGAAUCACCGUAAUGAUUAAUAGGGAUAGUUGGGGCAUUAGUAUUCAAUUGUCAGAGGUGAAAUUCUUGGAUUUAUUGAAGACUAACUUCUGCGGAAGCAUUUGCCAAGGAUGUUUUCAUUAAUCAAGAACGAAAGUUAGGGGAUCGAAGACGAUCAGAUACCGUCGUAGUCUUAACCAUAAACUAUGCCGACUAGGGAUCGGACGAUGUUAA